rnacentral:rRNA from 1 species
CCUACGGGUGGCAGCAGUGGGGAAUAUUGCACAAUGGGGGAAACCCUGAUGCAGCGACGCCGCGUGAGUGAAGAAGGAUCUCGGUAUGUAAAGCUCUAUCAGCAGGGAAGAAAAUGACGGUACGUGACUAAGAAGCCACGGCUAACAACGUGCCAGCAGCCGCGGUAAUACGGAGGGGGCAAGCGUUAUCCGGAUUUACUGGGUGUAAAGGGAGCGUAGACGGCCUGACAAGUCAGAAGUGAAAGCCCAGGGCUCAACCCUGGGACUGCUUUUGAAACUGGCGGGCUGGAGUGCAGGAGAGGUAGGCGGAAUGCGUGGUGUAGCGGUGAAAUGCGUAGAUAUUAGGAAGAACUCCGGUGGCGAAGGCGGCUUACUGGACUAUAACUGACGUUGAGGCUCGAAAGCGUGGGGAGCAAACAGGAUUAGAUACCCGAGUAGUC